rnacentral:misc_RNA from 1 species
CACCAAUCACGCCUGGCGUGGUAUUGGGCGACGGGGCGAGUCACAUCGCCCCGCGCCUCAAUGAUCUUUCCGGCGGGACGGACCGUAUCUCAGCGUUGUGCAAACGAGUCGCUGGCGAUGUGCGGGACGGCCGUGCCGUUAAACCCCCCAUUUUCUCAU